rnacentral:rRNA from 1 species
AACACGGAUCAAGGAGUGCAUCAGAGUUGAGAGUAUUGUGGUGAAAAAACCAAUAAUGCGAAAUGAAAGUAAAUACGAUAGAAGGGGUGCAGAGCCCUGGCAUAUUGUGCCGGUCCGAAUUUUUUUGAAGGAUCUGAGCGAAAUUAAUUCUGAUACAACCCGAAAGAUGAUGAUCUUAACACGACGAGGAUGAAGCCUGGUGAAAAUCAGGUGGAGGUCCGACGGGCGUUCUGACGUGCAAAUCGAUGCUCACAGUUGUGUUAAGGGGCGAAAUACUCAUCGAAUCAUUUAGUUGCUGGUUUUCUUCGAAGUUUCCCCCAGGAUAGCUGCGUUUGAUACAAGAGUUGCAUUUGGUAAAGCGAAUAAUUAGGAGAUUUGGGGGCAAAUUGCUCUCUGCUCAUUCUUAAACUUUAAAUGGGUGCGAUAUGGGAGUUGCUUAAGUGAACUUUCAUUACAAGAAUCGAUAAACGUUAGUGGGCCUCUCUUGGUAAGCAGGACGGGCGAUGUGGGCUGCUCCAAUCGUGGGGAUAAAGCGCUAAAGUGAUCGUUAAUCUAGACACCACAAAAGGUGUUUUAUUUCAUAGACAGCUGGACGGUGGACAUGGAAGCAGUCAUCCGAUAAUGAAUGCGUAACAGCUCACCAGCCGAGAGAUAAAGCCCUGAAAAUGGAUGGCGCUAAACGGUCCGCUUAUACUCCACCAUCAGUGCGAAAGAAGUAUUCGAUUGAUGAGUAGAAGAACGUGAAGUAUUUGGAGAAGAGAGGGCGUGAGCCCGAUUGGAAAAUACUUUAGUGCAGAUCUUGGUGGUAGUAGUAAUUACAAAAUUGAGAACAUUUUGGACUGAAGUUGAAAAUGGUUCCAGAUGAAGAGCAUUUCGAUCUGGGUUAGUCGAUCCUAAAAGAUUCGUUAAAUACGAUAAAAAGUGCGAUGGAUUUUUUUCAACAGAAAACCAUCAUCGAAUUGAAAGGGAAACAGGUCAAAAUUCCUGUACUUGGCUAAAGUGGCAACACUUUUUUUUGGGAUAUUACUUGCGGCGACGCAAAAGAACUUUGAGACUGGGGAGAAAGGAGGGAGUAGAGAUAUCUGCUCUAUUUAAGAGAAAAAAAGAGGAAAGCAAGAGUAGCGGGAGAAGGGAUUCGCGUUUCUUUUUUCGGUGCUUUUGCAACUAAAAAAACUCUUGAUGUCAUGUUAAUUAACUUUACGUUUAGAUCAUGAUGUAGUUCUCGAAAAAGGUUCUGGCAUUGUCAGAAGUCCUUUCCCAUCCCUUUCUACCUAUCAUAAAAAUCAAAGGGACAGAAUAAUUUUCCAGUCAAGUCGUACAAAUAUCCGCAGCAGGUUUCAAAGGUGAAAAGCCUCUAGUUUUGGGCAUAAUGUAAGUAAGGGAAGUCGGCAAAAUAGCACCGUAACUUUGGGAAAAGGUGUGGCUCUUGAGAGAGGGGAACAGGGCAGGGGGAAUCAAGCACGAGGGGACGGGUCGGUUUUGGGGGAACUGUGAUGCUGGGGGCAACUCUGGUGUUGUGGAGCUUCUGGCUGGCUUGGCCUCUUGGGCCUCCUCCUGGGGAAGAGAAGCAAUUCUUUUCCUUUUACCCUUUCCAAUUAACUCUUAAUCAAGAACUGAUGCUAACAAGGAGAAUCCGACUGUUUAAUUAAAACAAAGCAUUGCGACGAAUCCAAAAGGUUUAUUACGCAAUGUGAUUUCUGCUCAGUGCUCUGAAUGUUAUAGUGGAGAAAUUCGAUUAAGCGCGAGUCAACAGCGGGAGUAACUAUGACUCUCUUAAGGUAGCCAAAUGCCUCGUCAUCUAAUUAGUGACGCGCAUGAAUGGAUUAACGAGAUUCCCACUGUCCCUAUCUACGCGCUCGCGAACCCACAGUCAAGGGAACGGGCUUGACAAAGACGGCGGGGAAAGAAGACCCUGUUGAGCUUGACUCUAGUUUGAUAUGAAAAAUGAUUUUGAAGGUGUAGAAUAAGUGGGAGCUUCGGCAAAAUUGAAAUACCACUACUUUGAACAUUGUUUUUCUCAGUGUAUGAAAAAGGAGAUGGGGGGAAGGCUGUGGGGACGAAAGUUCUUUCUUGGCUUUCCCUCUUAUUCUUGAAUUAAUUGCUAAACACGGCCUUGCACAAGCAGGCUCUUUGAAGAUUGGGGUUUCGGCGGUCUGCAGUUGGCUCAAAAGGCCGUGUGCGGGUGUGGGAACGGAGUAAAAUCCUUUUCAUAUUCGUGUGCGGACGACGGGGCCAAAGGCGUGGCAGCCGCUUCAGUUGCUUAAGGGGUCGGCGGCGAGGUCACUCUGUAAAGCAAGACCUUGGUACACGACAAUUUCAGAUGGGGAGUUUGGCUGGGGCGGCUCGUAUGUGAAAAGAUAGCGCAUGCGUCCAAAGGGCAACUCAGUGAGAACAGAAAUCUCACGUAGAGUAAAAGGGCAAAAGUUGCCUUGAUUUUGUUAUUCAGUAUGUAAACAAACAAUGAAAGUUUGGCCUAUCGAUCCUUUAAAAUCUGGAAGAUUAAAUCGUGAAAUUUACGAUUAGAGGUGUCAGAAAAGUUACCACAGGGAUAACUGGCUUGUGGCGGCCAAGAGUUCAUAUCGACGUCGCUUUUUGAUCCUUCGAUGUCGGCUCUUCCUAUCAUUACUUUGCAGAAGGAGUAAAGUGUUGGAUUGUUCACCCGUUAAAAGGGAACGUGAGCUGGGUUUAGACCGUCGUGAGACAGGUUAGUUUUAUCCUACCGUCUAGGGUUUGGCGAGAGGAAUGAUUCAAAGUACGAGAGGAACGGAAUCAUCACGCUUCUGGUGAAACGCUUGUUUGACAAGACAGUGGUGUUAAGCUACGCGUGCCGAGAUAACAGCUGAACGCCUCUAAGCUGGAAUCCGCUCUCAAAGAUUGCCAAACGAGGAGAAGGGGCGACUCUUUU